rnacentral:tRNA from 1 species
CCAGGAUAGUUUAACAAAAACACUAGGCCGUGACCCUAGCAAUAGAACUAACCACUCUUCCUAGCU